rnacentral:lncRNA from 1 species
AGUGCAAAACCGACAGUGCACAUAAACAUUUCCCAGUUGGGUAGACACACAACACACAUAUUACUCCUACAAUGUAAAGAUUUCCAUCACGGUGGACAGACGUGCUUUUCCAUGCUGUUGAGCUACAACUCUGGCCUACAACAACAGAAAUACAGCUUGUGUAAUAGUUACCAGCAAGGCCUCUAGACCCAUACUAACUGGGUUUGAAUCAAGGUCCCGUCCCUUGCUGAUUGUAUCACCUUGGGAGGAGAUGGAAGAUUGAGAGCAGAGUGCAAGAAUGGGAAGAGGGCUUCGUGCCCUGUGCACGUUUGCCACCUAGUGACCAAACUGAAUGGUGUGCUUCUCACCUCAGCCUGAUAGCCUGACCUUGACUCCUGAGUUCCACGAUCGCUUCACAACUGCAAGUCACCAUCAUACAAAAUUUGAGUUUCCCUAAGUCCGCGCCUUUGAGAGCUUUGGAACGAUAUGCAAGUUCAAGUCACCAUCCUGUUUCUUGCUACCUCCUGUGAGAAGACCAACAUUUGGGUUACUUGUUUCUACUCUUGUUCUUCUGCUUGUUAUUGUUGCCUCUGCAGCCAUUGAUCACACACGUGUU